UGCAAGUCGAACGAACCUUCGGGUUAGUGGCGGACGGGUGAGUAACGCGUGAGAAUCUGCCCUCAGGAGGGGGAUAACAGCUGGAAACGGCUGCUAAUACCCCAUAUGCCGCGAGGUGAAAUGAAUUUCGCCUGAGGAUGAGCUCGCGUCUGAUUAGCUAGUUGGUGUAGGUAAAGGCUCACCAAGGCAUCGAUCAGUAGCUGGUCUGAGAGGAUGAUCAGCCACACUGGGACUGAGACACGGCCCAGACUCCUACGGGAGGCAGCAGUGGGGAAUUUUCCGCAAUGGGCGAAAGCCUGACGGAGCAACGCCGCGUGAGGGAUGAAGGCCUCUGGGCUGUAAACCUCUUUUAUCAAGGAAGAAGAUCUGACGGUACUUGAUGAAUAAGCCACGGCUAAUUCCGUGCCAGCAGCCGCGGUAAUACGGGAGUGGCAAGCGUUAUCCGGAAUUAUUGGGCGUAAAGCGUCCGCAGGCGGCCCUUCAAGUCUGCUGUUAAAAAGUGGAGCUUAACUCCAUCAUGGCAGUGGAAACUGUUGGGCUUGAGUGUGGUAGGGGCAGAGGGAAUUCCCGGUGUAGCGGUGAAAUGCGUAGAUAUCGGGAAGAACACCAGUGGCGAAGGCGCUCUGCUGGGCCAUCACUGACGCUCAUGGACGAAAGCCAGGGGAGCGAAAGGGAUUAGAUACCCCUGUAGUCCUGGCCGUAAACGAUGAACACUAGGUGUCGGGGGAAUCGACCCCCUCGGUGUCGUAGCCAACGCGUUAAGUGUUCCGCCUGGGGAGUACGCACGCAAGUGUGAAACUCAAAGGAAUUGACGGGGGCCCGCACAAGCGGUGGAGUUAUGGUGGUUUAAUUCGAUGCAACGCGAAGAACCUUACCAGGGUUUGACAUCCUGCGAAUCUCUUGGAAACGAGAGAGUGCCUUCGGGAGCGCAGUGACAGGUGGUGCAUGGCUGUCGUCAGCUC
rnacentral:rRNA from 1 species